rnacentral:rRNA from 1 species
AUUGAACGCUGGCGGCAGGCCUAACACAUGCAAGUCGAACGAGUGGCGGACGGGUGAGUAAUGUCUGGGGAACUGCCUGAUGGAGGGGGAUAACUACUGGAAACGGUAGCUAAUACCGCAUACCAUCGGAUGUGCCCAUAGGGGAUUAGCUAGUAGGUGGGGUAACGGGUCACCUAGGCGACGAUCCCUAGCUGGUCUGAGAGGAUGACCAGCCAAACUGGAACUGAUACACGGUCCAGACUCCUACGGGAGGCAGCAGUGGGGAAUAUUGCACAAGGGGCGCAAGCCUGAUGCAGCCAUGCCGCGUGUAUGAAGAAGGCCUUAGGGUUGUAAAGUACUUUCAGCGAGGAGGCGUUACUCGCAGAAGAAGCACCGGCUAACUCCGUGCCAGCAGCCGCGGUAAUAC